GCUGCCCUGUUUCCGUGAGGGAGAGUUCUCUCCCUUCUAUCGCUCACGGCAGCAGAAGCCGACGCUUGUGCGUGCGUUCACUGCUCACCACCACACGGAGGCACGAUGCUAAAUUAGACUAGAUGCCAGGACAUCUUUGCCUUGCUGCAGGUUUCUCAAACACGACAGUGCAACCCUUCUUCUUUACGCUCGGGUUUCUUCUCUGUCUACUUUGUGCCCAGCGUCGAGUUCCAUCAGCUGCUGCCAUGAAGCUUCGGAACCUGUGCAGGGUUCGUCAUCAUCAUCAUCGCUGGUGAUCCUGGACAAGACAGCCUAGAGGAUUUAUCCUGGGGAUAUACGGAUAUCAGCCAUCUUGGAUACAUACGUACGUGCGUCAUCGAAGGAAGGAUUACCUUGGAUAGUUACAUCUUAUUUACGCGAGGAACAACGGAUUUU